rnacentral:rRNA from 1 species
GAUGAACGCUGGCGGCGUGCCUAAUACAUGCAAGUCGAGCGAACAGACGAGGAUCUUGCUCCUCUGACGUUAGCGGCGCACGGGUGAGUAACACGUGGAGAACCUACCUAUAAGACUGGGAUAACUUCGGGAAACCGGAGCUAAUACCGGAUAAUAUAUUGAACCGCAUGGUUCAAUAGUGAAAGACGAGUUUGCUGGCACUGAUAUAGGUAACCGCGCCGCAGCAGCGAGGUGGUAAGGUAACGGCUUACCAAGGCGACGAUGCAUAGCCGACCUGGGAGAGUGAUAGGCCACACUGGAACUGAGACACGGGCCAGACUCCUACGGGAGGCCGCAGCAGGGAAUCUUCCGCAAUGGGCGAAAGCCUGACGGAGCAACGCCGCGUGAGUGAUGAAGGUCUUCGGAUCGUAAAACUCUGUUAUUAGGGAAGAACAAAUGUGUAAGUAACUAUGCACGUCUUGACGGUACCUAAUCAGAAAGCCACGGCUAACUACGUG